rnacentral:misc_RNA from 1 species
AAGUCGUAACAAGGUUUCCGUAGGUGAACCUGCGGAAGGAUCAUUAACAAUUUUACUUGGUUGGACUUGUCCUUCCAUUUUAUACACCUGUGAACCGUUUGUUUAGGUUUCCGCUGGCUCGCAAGAAAAAGCGGAUUCCAACCAUUGCCCGAGUUUACUUUGGCAGUGGCGUCUAACCCUCACCUCUGGUGAAUGCAAUAAACAGUGUUUGGCUUUGCGAUAAUGGGAAAAUACAACUUAUAACAAUGGAUCUCUUGGCUCUU